UUUCGAGUACUUCCAUCUCGAAAUUUGCAAAAUCCCCAGGUCAGCCACCAGCGGCAUUUUUAAACGAACCCGUUUGUACCACACGCACCGCGCGCGGGGGGCCAGAGCGUGAUGUCGCCGCGACCAUCUGUUGGAGUGCAAUUCCACAUUACCUCAGGACCACCAACAAUCGACACUGUGCUGAAGGACCCGCCCCCCGCCCCUUUCUUGAGUUUACUCUAAACACAGAGCGAAAUGAAGUAAAUUUCUAGAAUAUUACAGCCACCAAGCUUUCUGGUGGUCAACCGAACUUUCUACGGUGCACAUAUUCAUGCUAUUACACCGACGACAUAGUUUAAAUCCAGGUACCAGGUGGUCAGUGCCUUGGGGUGCCGGUACGGCAUACCAUUUCAUGCUGCAGGGGCCAUGACGCAAUAUGUGCUGGCAGCAUAGGCUAACUUACAACACUGUUACAUCCCGUACAACUGAAAAUGUUUACUUCUUUAUAAACAUUAGGAUAUAUAAUUUAGUUUUCAUCAUCAAGGGUUCGUUUCGCAGUUUAUACGGAGUGUUAACGUUUUUAGACCGCCUUUCUGCUUUGACAAAGCUAUCCAGCGGGCUUAUGCAAACGACCUCGUGUGUGUCUGUGUGUCUGUCUGUCUGUUCCACUAGAACGAGAUGUGCUAGAGACUUGAAAUUUUCAGGGUAUCUUAAGGUUCACUCCUAGAGAACGAAACGCCUACGGCAAAUCCUGGCAACCACCCAUAAGGGUGUGAAUGGGGGUAUCCAAGGUUCAAAAAUUCUCCCAAAAAGUUCUUGUUUUUAAUGUUCUUCAACGGGGUAACUCGUUAAAGUAGUCCUUAGACCGAAAAUUUCGUCCGUUUCGCUCUAUCUCUUAUCGUUUAGGCGCUGUAGUGUCUUUUUUGACGAAAAUAGACUAAAAAUUGCCAUAGUGAACAAUACGAUGUAGAAAAAGGCCUAAAAACCACAAAAUAGGAAAGAAACUCUCCCCCCACCUCCAAAAAACGUUUUCUAAGCAGAAGGGUGGGUUGUAGUCGCAGUGCUUCACCGUUACCCUACAUCCCUUUCUUGUGUCUACGGGGCAAACUCAAUGACGACGGGUUUAAGCGGGCCGUAGGCGCGCUACAUCAUUCGACCAUGUUCUUUAGCAAAUCGCGUGACAGAAAUUGUCGGGCCGCAGGCCUGACCAUCGCCGCCGGCAGGCCAAGCACGCCCGGCCCCUGCCAAACGGAGUUGCCGGCGGAGCGAAGCGGAGCUGGCAACUUCGUUUGGCGGAAGGGCGGGCCUGCUUGUUAGGUUAUGUAGGAACUUUUAAGGAAAGAACGCGUAUUUGAGUGAAUUUUGACGGCAAACCGGUUGUAAAACAAAUCUGAGGACGGCCCAGCUUCAUUUCUACCAGCGCGGCUCACAAACCAUCAAAAAAACGAAAUUAGUAAAAUACGAAACUUCGUCAACUUGUGCUCUGCGCAUGCGCCAGAGAAAACCGGGAAUUUUUCCGGAAACAAACAGGGGACUUCCCGGGAAAAUGUUUGCUGUGAUCCGUUGCAGCACAAUCGUGCACACCAAACAGAUUGCAUCUUCCAGUUAUCCCCUAAAAUAGUCCGAAAAUUAGCAAGGAUCCUUGCUUUCAACACACAGCUGUGGGUGGUCAACGCGAGACGGACCAUCAUGGUGCUGUGCACUGUGAGCAUAACGUAUAACGUGUUCUUCUUCACCCACGUUACCGCUGACGCGCUGUUUGCCGAAGAGCCUGUCGUGCCACUGUGGCCUUUCGUUCCCCACGCUGGCGCCUGGGGCACGCACUUAGGCCGACUCUUCUACGGUGCCUGCCUCGUCGCGUGGCUCCCACCCAGCGUGGUGUUCACCGUCACCCUGAUCCUUGGGACCGCCGUCCCCGCCGGGCUGCACCACGCCUUGGCUCGGCGGCUUGAUGACUCGGUCUCACCCAGCAGUGUUCGAGCCGUGGUCGCCAAGCACAUGCGACUGCGGCAACUCGCGCAAGGCCUGACGGACUUUUACUCGACAAGGCUGGCGCACAUUCAGGUCGCCUCCUUCUUCUAUGCUGUCUUUGGCUUGAUCAACGUAAGUUGUCCAGCAGCGAUGGCAAGUAUAUGUAAUAUUUCGGUUUUAAUAGCUAAUUGUUUCAUCAUUUCACACAUAUGGUAUACAUAUUGGUUAAGAGUGAACCAUCGGAAAAAUCCCAAGAAAUUUUUUACAGUGUAUUGAAUCGGGUCACUUGAAAUAAAGUAAACUCGGAGAUUGAGCGCGCCCCGCUAGAGCCAACUGUCAAGUUCGCCACCCACCAUAAGCGCGAUCCGGCGCAAGAGCGAACGUCGCAGGAGCGAACGUCCGGACGCGCGAAUUGUCGGAAGCGCGACCCGUCACAAGAGCGACAGCUGCGAGGCGCAGCUUUCUACGGCGAGACGGGCGAGAUCGCGGCGUAGGUCGAGAGGGUCGGUCAGUCCUUUAUAGUCGUCCCAGCCGAGGGGAUCGGAGCCGAGUGGAGCCGAGCCGAGCCAGCGUCCCUUCACUUCCAGUCUGUCCGUUGCGAAGAGUAGCUGUUUUAUUGUUGUUAUUGUCGGUGCUAUUUUAUUUGAUUGAUCCAUAAUGAAUUGCAAAGUUUGCCAAAAGACUUUUACCGAGAUUUCUAACCUUCGACGACAUGAGAGAUCUACCCAUUCUGACCAGCGAGAACAUCAGUGCCGAUUUUGUGACAAGCUUUUUACCAGACCACUUGACACAGCAUAUAACUGUUAUCCACAAGGUUGUUUUAGUAAAUGAUAGGGAGAGAGAACAAUAUUUCAGGUGUAACAAGUGUGACAAGGGUUUUGGAUUGACGUUAGUUCUGGGUUUUGUUCACGAUAGCGCUGAUCUCUCCUUCCAAUGAUUACUUGUUUUUGAUUGUCGUUUCUCUUUCAGUGAUUGAAGCAGUCGCAAUCCGUUCUUUCAGGGCUAGGUGACAGGGGUAGAGUGGUGCGUUAAUUAUUAUUUGCGGGAUGAAAUCUUAACUUGUUAAAUCAUGUGGAAUUUGCUGUACUGGUAUGUAGGGAUGAAAGAGUGCUCUAUAUUAUAAUUCAUUUUAAUGGUAUGUAGCCAACUAUGGGAUGUGUCAUUACAAUCAUGACAGUGAUAUUGUUCAUCAGUAGUCUGGGGUCCCUAAAUAUUCUCCGUUCUGUGUUUACAUCAUACUAAUGAAAGUCAUAUCAUACUGUUGAGUUCAUGUUUUUAGUUUAGGGAUUUGUAAUGGUGACUGGGUUACUGGACUUUUCUUACAGUACCUUCAAUAGCAGGUUGGAUGUAAUGCAAUGUUUUGUCAGGUAUGCAACCAAAACAUUUUCUCACUCUGCUUGUUUACGGUUUUGUUUGGUUUGGUUUCUCAUGUACUUUUGUCUUGGUUAAUGGUAUCGCCUGCAGGUUUUUCUGCAGGUUUUCAUAACAUUUAGCCUGGGCUGUUCAUUUUGACUCAGCCUACUAACUUAAAAUAUUCAUCAUCAUUACUGUUACCAAGUAUCUUAUCAAGUUAUCUAAUUUAUCAGUUCUAUCUAAGACUGUUAUUGUAUAUACUAUAAAUUUUACCCUCUGGCUUAUAAAAUACUGCAAAUUUAAAUUACGUGUAACAUUUUUCAGGAAAAAUUUAAUAAGGCACAUGAAAAGUUCGCAUGGAGAGGUUGAUGUAAAGAAGAAUGCUGGGAAUGAGAAGGAAAAUGAGAGGCUUGGUGAGAGGAAUGCUAUUGUAAUUGAUGAGAUUGGACAGACAGAAGAGAUUGGACAGAUGGAAGAGACAGAGCAAGCAAUUUAUUUAAAUUUUUAAGAUGUGACAAGGUUUUUUCUUCAAAGAAAAGUUUGACAAAGCAUGUGAAGAAUAAGCGUAAGGAUGGUGGUGAGGCAGGAGAAGUUUGAAGUUCUGUCAACACUGAAGGUCGGGCUGCAGAAUUUUCCUUUGUAUGUGCCUUGUGUGAAUAUGUAGGCC